rnacentral:rRNA from 1 species
CAGGUGGUGCAUGGUUGUCGUCAGCUCGUGUCGUGAGAUGUUGGGUUAAGUCCCGCAACGAGCGCAACCCUUAAGCUUAGUUGCCAUCAUUAAGUUGGGCACUCUAAGUUGACUGCCGGUGACAAACCGGAGGAAGGUGGGGAUGACGUCAAAUCAUCAUGCCCCUUAUGAUUUGGGCUACACACGUGCUACAAUGGACAAUACAAAGGGCAGCGAAACCGCGAGGUCAAGCAAAUCCCAUAAAGUUGUUCUCAGUUCGGAUUGUAGUCUGCAACUCGACUACAUGAAGCUGGAAUCGCUAGUAAUCGUAGAUCAGCAUGCUACGGUGAAUACGUUCCCGGGUCUUGUACACACCGCCCGUCACACCACGAGAGUUUGUAACACCCGAAGCCG